rnacentral:rRNA from 1 species
UACGGUAGGGUGCAAGCGUUUAUCCGGGAAUUUAUUGGGGCGUAAAGAGCUCGUAGGCGGUUUGUCGCGUCUGCUGUGAAAAACUGGAGGCUCAACCUCCAGCCUGCAGUGGGGUACGGGGCAAACUAGAGUGGCGGUAGGGGGGAGAUUUGGAAUUCCUGGUGUAGCGGGUGGAAUGCGUAGAUAUCAGGAGGACACCGGCGGUGUAGACGGCUUUCUGGGACCGUAGCUGGACGCUGAGACACGAAAGCGUGGGUAGCAAACAGG